GGUGGGGUUCCCGAGCGGCCAAAGGGAGCAGACUGUAAAUCUGCAGUCAUCGACUUCGAAGGUUCGAAUCCUUCCCCCACCACCA
rnacentral:tRNA from 1 species